rnacentral:lncRNA from 1 species
UUUUUUUUUUUUUUUAAAUAAAAUUACAUUAAAGUUAAAUAACUUAUAUAAUUUACUUAAAUUUAUUAUAAAAUUUAUAAUUAUUAGAACUUUUUAAGAAAAUAUUAUAAAAUAUUAUAAAUUUAAAUUGAUCCACUUAUAAUAUAUAAAACCAUAAAAAAUAAAAUCAUUUUCAAUUGUUAUUUUAUUUAGUUUAUUUUAAAUUCUCGAUAUAAAUAUUUUAUUGUUAAUGACAUUUUUAAUUUUUAUUUCUAUUUUUAUAAUUAUUAACAUUAUUUAAUUCAAAAUUUGUGGGACAACCAUAAAUUAAUUAAAUUUUUAGGAUUUAAAUCACCUAUAAAAUUAAAGAUCUAUUUGUUUCACUGAAAAUGGCUUUCGAAAAAUAACUUACUUUUCUAGAAAAAGCUAAUAUUUUCUAGUAUUUGGAUGAAUUUGUGUAAACUAUUUUCUGUUAUUUGUCAGAUUUCUUGAAAAUAUUUCAUAAAAGCUGUUUUCAAUGAAACAAACAUACAUAUGAGAUUUUCUUAUCUUUUUAUUGUUUAAUUGAGUUUAUUUUAUAUCUAUAAAUUUAUAUUUUACAUUGUUAUUGCAUAUAUUAACAAAAAUAAUAUAAUAUAUAAAUACAUCAAAUUAAAUACAUAAUAUUACUCAAUUAUUAAGCUAUAAUAUUAACAUGCAUAAAUUGAAAACAAUCAAAGCGAAUAGAUAACUCCUGAUUGUAUUAUAAAAACACAAAAAAAAUGAUUGAAUAAUAAUAAAUUAGCUUCCAAACCAUAAUUAGCACUAUAUAAAAUUAUAUUAAUAAUUUUAUCCAAGUGCAUAAUUAGUAGUACAUCGCAUGAUGGCUACAAUAUUAGUUUGAAUAAUAAUAAAUUAGCUUCAAAAAAAUAGUAGAACAAAAAUUAAAUAAAAGCUAAUUUAUUAUUCAAUUAGAAUAGUAAAGGGGCUCAAAUCUCUUGUAAAAUCGUAAAACGUGAAGACAAUUAAGGAGACGCCAUUCCUAGGGCUCUAAGCUUUUAACUUCGAAAUUCAAGUAGUCAUUGGUUGUUUUCUUGAAUUUUUAUAGAUUUGAGGUAAUGGGAACUUGAGUUAGCUAGCCCAUGUAUCAAUUUGUAAAAUUGUUAAUGUUUUAGAAAGUUUUCAUUGUUGAAUUCUUGAAGUUUUAGGUGUUAUAUUGAUAGAUUUUAAGCUUAGAUGUGAGAAGGGGUAAAUUGUAAAGCUUAAUUGAUAAUUUAGUACUUUAAGGAAUAAACUAAAUAAAAUGUAAAAUUUGCUAUAAAAAUAAGAAAUGGGAGGUCGCUAAUGUAUAAUAGUGAAAUCAGAAAUCAAUUUGAAGCUUUAAAUUGAAAGUUAUGUUAGUCUCGUUUUAGGGACUAAAUUGAAUAGAUUAUAAAUUUUGUAUAAAUUGAUAAUUGAAUGUGAAUUGGUUUAUUAUUGAUAGUGCUAUAUGUUUUAUGUUAAUCCGUAGCUAACAUUGAUUGGAAAAUGUCCAAAGACAUUUUGGUAAACAAGGCCUUAUCAGAUUGAAAAACAUCUUACCAAAAAAAAUUUGAUAAGACAUUUUAUGAGAAUAAUGAGGUAAUUUUACGUUGACUGGAAAAUUUUUUACGUUGACCAUACUAUUUUACAUGAAACAAAUAUAAAAAAAUGCUAAAAAUAUUUUUCGUAAAAGUUUUUUUACGUAAAACAAACGGAGCCUAAAAGAAAAAUUAGUUAAAAGUAAAAAAGAACAGGCAGGGUAGCUUGGGAAUACAUGAUUUGAGUCUUCAAAACAAAGCUUUCCUUUUGAAAUUGGAUAUAAUUUUUUUCAGAUCAACAUGCCAUACCGGUGCAAGUAAUGAGAACUAAAUAUUGAGUGGGGGAGGGGAAGCCUACGUUUAUUAAGAGAUCGAGUAGCUCAUUUUUUUGGAAAUCCAUUGCUAAAGUUUGACGGCAUUUACUAGAUUCACUUUGUUGGUCGAUCGAUAAUGGGAAGAGGGUCUGAUUUUGGUUCGAUACUUGGGGUUGGGGCUAGAAUCGCUAAAUAAUUAUUGUUUGGAGCAUGUAUCUUGAAAUCUGACAGUCUUGGUUUCUUACAUGGCUGAUGGUAAGGGACAUUGGCAGCGGGGAGAGUCUACGUCGUUACUUAGUAAUGAUAUUCUACUUUUUAUUACGGCGGUUCAACCACUUUAAAGAAAUAUGAAGGAAGAUGUCCGUGUAUAAAAGCAUACUAAGUAGGGCUAGUUUUCCAUGCGUUCUACAUAUGCUUUUUUUGGCUCAUAUUUGAACUAUAAUUUGGAAAUUUCCGGGUCCACAACGUGUUAGGAAUUUCCUUUGGUUGGUGGGACGUAAACGUCUCCUAACUAGGAGUGGGUAGAGAAGGGUUUGAUGGAGUAUGCAAGUUGCGCCUUGCACCCCUUGUAAUGCUUGCAACGAGAGCCUGAUCCAUCUCCUUUGUGACUGGCCAAAUGUAGCAUUGAUUUGGAAGUUUCGAACGUUUUCUUACCUCUCAACAAGCGACAUUUAUUUUUUCCUGAUCAUUGCAAGAUUGGCUGCACGCAAAUUUAUCUAAUGUUUUUAAUAUUCAUAUUAUUAAUUUGAAUUGGGUUACUUUGUAUGAGAUCAUAUGUUGGAAUAUAUGGAAACACUAGAACUUAUUGGUGUUCAGAACACAGAGUUUUAGUAGUAAGGAUGUGGCUACACAGGCCAUUUUGUAGGUGAGACAUGUGCUUACAAGUAAAUCUAUGAAUGCGGUACGGAGGUCACAGUCCAUGGCUAAUCAGUUAUGGACACCACCAAAUAAAGGUUAGGUGAAACUAAAUUACGAUGGGUUCAUGAUAUGCGAGGUGAACUGUAACAGCUCGUUUUCUAGUGGCGUCGAAAACAGUGGUUUCGGGGCCACAAUUCUAACAUGUGAAUUCAUAAAUAUUAAAUAAUUAAUAAUGGUUACGUCACUAUUAAUUUUUAAGUGCUGAAUUUAUAUGAAAGUAUAACUAGAUGGAUUUUGGUGGCAGUAAUGCCAUUUUUAAACUUAGUGGUCAGUCAUGUGCUUUUUAAUUGUGUUUUUAUAAUUAAAAAGUUUAAUUAAAAUAAGGUUGAAGUAUUAUAAUAAUGAAACAAAAAAGGAAUCCUAUGUCAUCUUCUUAAAUUUCUUUUUAUUUUCAACCGAAACUCCAUGGUUAAAACCUUAGAACAAUCGGCCAAGCUUCAUUUCUUAUGCAUGGUAUGUUUUUCAAGCUCGUUUCUCGUAAAUUUUAUGUUUUUAAAAUCGUUACAGCUUAAUCGAUCUAGCCUAGGGACUAUUUUAAAAUACUAUCAAAGAUUUGAAAACUUGCCAUUGAUAUUCUUGAAGCUUUUUAGUUGUUAAUGGUUUAGUUUGAAGCUUGAUGAUGAAUUUGGAUUAAUUUGUAAAGUGGUUUUAAUAGUUUUGAGUUUAAGGACUAAAAUGAUUAAAUAUUGAAAUUUGUUUAGUUUUCUUGUAAAAUUUUAGACUUUGAGAGGUGUAUAGGGAUGUUUAAGAAUUCGGUACUAUGGGUUAGGGAGUAAUUAUGAAAAUAAACUUGUUUCGAUUUUAGGGACUAAAUUGAAUAAAAUGAAAAUAUUUAGGUCAAUUGUGAAAAAUAUAAAUAAGAAAUCAUAUGCAUCAAAUGGAUUGUUAUAAAGUAUUUUGGGCUAAUAAUUGAAAUAAAAAUUACUAUAUAGAUCAAGAACCGAUAGAUAAUUAUAGAAAAGAGAAAAUUAUUGAUUAGUUCGUCAUAUUGACAUCUUUACUAUUUAGCCCUGGUAAGUUUAUGCGGUAUUAUUUUGUGUAUUUUUGUAAUUUUAUUGUUGAAAUUCCAUAAUUUGAUGACAUUGGUUAUAAAUUGAAAUGCUACAAUUGAAUUGGUGAGAAAAUAGAUUGAAAUGUAAAUUGUUAUACGGUUACGUGAAUUAAGCCUGGAUGAACAUAAGAUAGGGUACAGUUUGCAUGCCAAUUGAUUAUUUUGUGCGUUGUAUCGGAUUUGACUUGUGACGAGAUGAUGAUUCAUGACUUGUUAUUGUACACUGAACAUAUUAGAGUCCAACAUUUGUUGCGGAUUACCGAGUUAUAUUUACAGUGAUUCUAGUGUGUUUCUGGGGGCAAAUGUAAAGCCUACAUGCUUGAAACUUGGUGCCCAAACGUGUUUAUGGAGGGAUGUUAGCCUACGGGCUAGGCACUUGGUGCCUUAGCGUGUUCUUAAUUGGAUCGGAUCAGUUGAGUAUCCAGGCAUGUUUUGGGUGGAUAACCGCGUACCCAUAUAUGUUCAUGUAGUUCAUCAGGCUAAAUUUCAAUGGUUAAAUGACAUGACUUUGAUAUGUACUUGAUAUUUGAUUAUAAUGCAUUGUUGAUCACUUGUAUAUGUUUUCAUGAUUUCCAGUAUUAUAUCAUGACUUGAUAUUGAAUGAUAUUGUACAAAUGAGAUGAUUAAAUGACUCGUAUAUAUGAAACUCACCUAUUAAAUGGUUGUGGUUAACAGGGUUAAUGUUAGUUAAUGAUUUUGUUAAUUAUUAAACUAUGUUUACACGGUAAGUUAUAUCGUUUCAACCUAUGAACUUACUAAGCUCCUUCAAGCUUACUCGUGUCAUUUUUUUUCUUAUUUUCUUGUAGAUAUCGUUUUGUGGAAUCAAACAAUCGGAUCAAGUUGAAGAUCACACUAUCUAGCUAUCUUUUGGUAAACUUUCAAAAUGUUUAUUUUGAAGCAUGUAAUAAGAGUAUCUUGUAUUUGUUUAUAAGUAUUCACUAUAAGUGGCAUAUUUUGUGCUUGUAUAUAAGUUGAGUGUUUGUGGCAAAUGAUGUGAUGGAUUAUAGCUUGGUUUAGAGAUUUUAUUAAAGUUGUGUGACCCAAAUUUCUGUUAAAUAAAAUAAGAGAUUGCUUGCAAGUCAAGUUAAACAAAAUAUAUUUUCUUUCUAGAAAAUUUAAUAUUUAUUAGUAUAAUAUAUUUAGCAUUUAUUAGCAUAAUUUAUUUGACCUGUGAAUUUAUUCUAUAAAUAGACUCUUUUACAACCUUAGAAAAUACACCCAUUAAAGAUUAGAACUAUAACACUUUUGGAGAAUUUUGCGUUUACAUUUUGUUAAGUUAUUUGUUUUCAGGUUUUGGGGUUUAAUUUUUUUAUCAUAUCUUUUGUACUUUUUGUUCUUUUGCCAUUAUAGUAAAAUUAUCUUUGCCCGUGGUUUUUUAUCAUAUUUGGAGGGGUUUUUCCACGUUAAAUUUGUGUGUUUAAUUUCUUAAUUUAUUCCGCUAUUUUUACUUGUUCGUUGCUUAAUCGAAUUGAUCCCCAACAAAUUUGAAUGCGAUAUAUGCUUGAUAUGUGAUGGAAUAUAUAUAUGAUGUAAUGAAAUGCAUAUAAAUGAAUUAAAUGUGAUAGGUAAUGUUUAAAUAGGUAAUACUUUGGUUGGAUUUGUUUUGGAUGCUAUGAAUUGGUAUAUAUGUAUGGUUUUCUUUUGAUAGCUAAUAUGUGGUGCAUAUGCUUUGACAAUGAGUGUUAAUUGAUGAUUGCAUUAUAGCAUGUUGUCACAUUAUAUGGCCUUAUUUAAUUAAGUUUGAACUUGGUAGAAAUUGAAAAUGUUAGACUUGAAUGUUGUUUGUGAUGGUGCCUUAUGGCAUAUUGGUUAGAAUUAGGUAAAUGGCAUGUUUUGGUAUUUUUUGUGUGAUUUGAACAUGUUGAAUGAUUGGUUAAUGCUAUACUUGUGGCCUAAAUAUGCAUGUAAUUGUAUGGCUUGCAUUUGAAGAUACCUUUGGGUUCACAUGAACUGAAACACGACCUAACACACAACUGUGUGCCAUACACGGGUAUAUGUCACGGUUGUGUGGUCUGUGUGAUUUAUAUAUCAAUUGGCACACACGGCCACUGUUUGUUACACGGUAGUGUGCCUCCACCCACACGGUCUUAAUCCUCUCACAUGAUUGUAUGACACGGCUAUGUCCCAUAACACCACACAGCCGUGUGACCCCUCUUUAUUGUUUUUACCUUACUUUUUCUAUUUUUAUUUCGAAUUAGUCCCUGCUUGUUUCUGAAUGGACUAUUGAGUUUCAUAGGCUAGAUUUAGGUCUCGUUUUUGCUUGAUUAACAUGAUUAUCAAAUGUUUGUCUAUUAAUGAUUGUUUAAAUUUAAUUUUGAGUUGAAGUUACAUAUUGACUUGUUAAUUGUCAUAGCAUCUCGUAACCCUAAUCCAGUGACAGAAAUGAGCGAGGGGUGUUACAUGAGCACAGCUGUUGGGGAUACGAUACAAUAAUAUAACGGCAAUUGGGUGUGGUACUAUUCUCAUUUCUUUGGAGCCUAAAAUGAAAUCGAUGAAGAGCUUUGGGAACUUCUGAAUGAGCCGAUGGUUGCGUGGGACUUGGGGUUGUGUUAGGUGAUGGUGGUGUGCGAUAGCGUCGUGGCAAUGUUGUUGGCUAUGACAGUCCAUAGAAGCACUAGUACUAUGCGAGAUAUAAAGUCGAUGUGCGAGUGACCAUGGGAGGUGUGUAAUACCCUCAUACCCGACCCGAACAUUAAGUCAAAGCACUAGGAUGUUACAUUUGUUGCUAGAGCAACUUCGGCGAUUUCACAUCAACUAAUCCCUAUAAAACUCAAAUUAUAUCAAAACACUUGCAAUAACUUAUACACAUGCCAUAUUUUAUAGCAAAAUAUCAAAAUUGUACCCUCUUCAAGCCUUGGUGAUGAGAUGAGAUGCGUUAAAAUCUCAACUUGAAUCUAAAGCUUCAAUUCAAUCUUCCACCUACGUGUUUAAAACACGCAUUAAACUUGUGAAAGCUUAAGAAGUACCCAGGGAUCCAAAUCUCAUUUUUUUACCUUGAAUUCUGUAUAUAUAAAAUACUACUACUAUUAUAAUUCUUGAAUAUAUCUUAAUAAUGAACAAAAUACAUUUUAAUAAUUAACAGAUCAUUUUUGUAUCUGUAGGAUUCAUUAUUACCAUAAUUCACUACCUUUAUCUUUUCAUAGAUUGAUAGGAACAGAACUUUUACCAGUCUAAUUCACUAAAUUAUCACUUCACGGUUUAAUAGAAAGUAUUAUCAGAAUCCUUUACUAGUCAUCUCACUGUGUAACAAUAACUUUUCAUCAAAACCUGCUUAGCAUAACUUUUUAUUUUAUUAUUAUCUUUUAUUAUUCAACAAAGGCCCAAUGUAGACUUAAUAAAAUGCAUAUGAUGUAUGAAAACAGUACAAUAAUACAUCAAAAUGCAAUAACAAAACAAAGUAGCACCGGAGUGCUGUGUCAGAACAAGACCGCAAUGACAUGCGUAAUAAAAACAAAGAGCGCGCUAGGUGCUUCCUUAAUGGCAUGUCAUCUAUAUCUUAAUAGUUCUCAUUGGCUGCCUCAAUUACCAGCGCGUAGACACCGGGGUUGAGAAAUCAACACUAACACAAUCAAAUAAUAAAAUGGUAUCUGCAAGUGUGUCAAGUUAAUUGUAAUAUUUGUAAUGUUUAACGAAAUACUCGAGUACUCCAAGGAUUGAACCCAAAUGAGUCAGUGAUUAAGUGAUCCCAAAUUAAUAACAUGCAAUUAAAGGAUUCUAAUUAACUACUCACUAAGCAUUAUAUUAUGACAUGUUAUAAUUUGAAGUUAAUUACACUAAAUUGCUUUCUAACACUAAGGAAGACUAAAUCGUAAAGCAGACAAAACUAUAAAUUUACCAAAUUACUAAAAAAUGGUGGUUGGUCAACUUCCAUGUUGCUAGAUAAUUUUCGAAUUAGAGAAUUAAAUCACUUAAACUCCUAAAGUGGCUCAAUUUUACCUUUCAGCCUCAAAUUUACCAAGUUAAACAAAUUAGUUCGACUUAUCUCUCGACCUCACCCAGCUAACUCGAGUCUAUUGAAUUAGCGCCCGAUAAGAUCUCUUUUCGGUCUUACUCAUCUUAAUUUUCCCUUAGGGACGUUGAUCCUAAGUUUAAAUUUUAUUCAAUUUAGCCUAAUUUUUGCAAUUUAUUAUAUGACUUAAAAAUUAGCUAAACAACAUUUCCAUCUACCAAUCUCCCAAGAUUUAGCUCCUUAAGCACGUAAUCACCCAACAUUCAAAAAAAGGGACAUUAACUUAGUCUAAAAGAAAGUUGAUAAAAACCCAAGCUUUCUUGCAAAAGCUUGAAGAACGAAAUAAUGGCAACAAGAAAGAUAAAUAAAAACACCAAAGAUGAAUUUUUUGACAGAUGAAACAUAAAAAAGCUAAUUGGUAUUGAACUAAAGGAUUAAAGUGAAAUUACAAGGGAGUUUGAAGUGCUAAACAAGUAAAUAAAUCCUAGCUACAAUGGUAACUAACUUAACUAACAACUAAAAUGCUAAGAAAUACCAAAGAAAAGCAUAAACUAAAAACCCUAGAAUUAUGGAGAAGAAAACUACUCUAAACCUAAGCUAAGAAGAUGAAAGAAAACCUAAACUAAAAACUCUCCUUUUUUUCUUAGCCAAAACUGGCUUUUAACAUCUUAUUACAACCCAAAUUUUGUGCUCAAAGCCCCUUAGCGUUUAUUUUUUAUUGGUGUUGAAGUUGGACAAGGACUACCAUUGCAGUCAAUUUUUGUCUCGUCUCGUUAUUGGUAUCGUGAUACCUUCACCAGUCUUGAAAUGGGGGGUCUUUCGAUGUUUGGGUAUCUCGACACCACUGUAGAUGGUGUAACAGCCUAGUUUUAGUUAAAUCGGAGCAGUGAUUUCGGAACCACAAAUCUGAGGUAAGAAAAUUAUUUUAAUAUUAUUUUUGGUAUUUACAGCAUGUGAUUAUAUAUGUGUGAAAGUUCCGUAAAGAAAUUUUACUGUUUGAAUGCUUAAUUCGGUAAAAAUGACUAAAUCGCGUAAAGCGUAAAAGUUGUGUUCUAUAAGCUAAAGGUGUCUAAUAGCUAUAGAACAUUAAAGUAAAGGUACUUAAGUGGUAAAUAGGUCAUUUGUGAGUUAAUGGAUGAUAGUGGAGUGGCAUUUGGUGUAAUUACCAAUGUUUUUAAUGAUAAAAUAGUAAUUAAGUAAAUUAAUGAUAAAAUAAAUAAAACCAAAGUUAAAAUUUUGUCCAUCUUUUCUUCCUUGGCCGAAUAUUGAAGAAGAAAGACACCAUUGAUGAACACUUAGGGCUCGACACACACAUAGUUUGGUUAAGGUACAGCUUGAUCACGAUUUUUGAUAAUUUUUACGUUUUUGAGAUCGUUGCUUUGUGUUCUAGCUAGCCCAUGCCCUAAUUUUUUAAUUUGGUUGAUGAAUUUGUGAGUUUCCAUUGAUGAUAGCUUGAUGUUUUUGAAUGUUGAUGAUGGAAAAUGAAUAAUUGUUGAUAGAUUAAUAUGUUUUGUAAAGUGAUUUUUGACAAAAAUGUCAAAUAAGGAUUAAAUUGUGAAAUAUACAAAUUAAGUGGUUGAAAUGUUAAAUAAAUGAAAGUUUUGGGCUUCUAGGGGCGCUAUAGUAAUUCAGCUAAGCUUGGGUUAUAUUGAAUUGUGUAAAUUUUGUAUAUUUGUGAAAUAGGGACUAAAUUGAAUAAAUGUGAAACUUUAGGGGCUCAAGUGAAAAAUGUCCAAAUAGAUAUUUUUGGAUGAAAUUUAAUGAAUAGGUGAUUAAAUUAUUUAAAUUUGAAUUCAUAUAGAUUAGGAAAGAAAGAAAUUAGAUUUAGAUCGGGGGAAAUUGAAAGUUGACUAGUCGUUGAUUUGAUCCGUUCGUUUUCGUACGAGAUAAGUUCAUAAGUAAAUAAAUGUUUUUGAACUCAAAUGUAUAUGUUUUAUAUAUUUUCGAAUUGAUUUGAGCAUUGGAUAACUGGUUUCGUGCAUGAAUUGAUUUAAUUACGAAGUCGAAAGCUCCGAAUGAAUCUUAGGAAAUGUAUAGGAUACUGAUGUCAUGAUAUUAGGACUUUCAAGGUGUGAUUUCGUAUAAGACCAUGUCUAGGACAUUGGCAUCGAAGUGAGAAAACGUGUAAGACCAUGUCUGGAACAUUAACAUCGUAUAUGAUUCGUAUAAGACCCUGUCUGGGACAGUGCCAUCGAUAUGCGUUAACAUGUAAGACCAUAUCCGGGAUAUGGCAUUGUACGAGCUUUAUAUGAUUUCCGUGUGUUCUUAACAAUUCCGAAUGUGAAUUUGAGCUAAAUGGUUCAGGUAUGCGUGAAGUUUAUAUUUUGAUGAAAUAAUAAGGUAAGUUUAGUACUUAAUGUGAUAAUAUGAAUUUAUAUGAGAUAGUUAAAUGUAUAUGUGUUUGAGAUUUAUUUAAAUUCGACCUUGUUGAAUUAAAUUAUAAAUAUCAUUGAGAUGAUUUAUUUUCUUAUGGCUUAGUAAGCUUCCAAAGCUUACUUUGUGCAUCCUUCCAUUGUAUUAUAGAUAUAUAUAAAGCUAGCUCGAGCUCGGGGAUCGUCAAGGAUUAUCGUUACACUAUCAAUAGCCAUUUUGGUAUUUUGAAAGCUUGAUAUUAUGAUAUAUGGCAUGUAUAGACUAUGGAAAAUUUUGAAUUGUAUAUAAGUUGUCAUGCGAAAUGGCUUGUUAGAGAUACUAGUUUUUAUGUAUAUUCGGUCAUGUUGUAAGCUCUUUUGGGAAGUAUGUUUCGAGGUAUAUAUGUAUGAUAAUGUUUGGUUAUAAGAUUUGACUUGAGUAAUGAUUUAGUUGGUGGAAGUGUUUUGUUAUAAUGUAAUAUGAUUCGAUGUAUGUUAGUUGGUUCGAAAUUUGAAUAGUAAAUGGUUAUGCUUGGGUUAAAUUUCAGUGUAUGAAUUGUAUUGUGAAAUUGGUUUGUACGGAAAAGAAGUAUGGUUUGUAUAUGAGAUAUGAUUAGUAGACAUGAAUUGUGAUAAAUGACUGUGUUAGACUGUGUUGUGUUAGGUAAUGCCUCGUAACCCUAAUUCGCUGACGGAUACUGGUUAGGGGUGUUAUAGAUGGCCUCAAUCCUCUUCAUUUUAGCUUUGUCCAAGCUACAAUGACUUUUAAGCCUUGAUAUCGCGAUACCCCAUUCUAUGUGAUGUUUUCGUUCAAGUCCGAGCCACCAUUGACUCCCUACAAUACUCAAUCAAUUGUUAGGGGCCUUGUGGCACAUUUGGCCAAUUCAGAUCUCAAAAGUAGCAUAAAAUAUAUUAAUUCACUUAUUAAUACGAAGAACUAAAACUAUGUAAAAAUACGGAAAAUACAUUAAAAUUGCUUGAGAAUAAGCUCGUUAAGUCUAAUGGGGAGCCUAAUUUGAUAUAUCAAAUUACGACAUAUCAUUCAACUUGUCUAAUUUGGGAAAUUAAGACGGAAAUCACUUCAUUUUCACAUUUAGGAACAAAAUUUGCAUAUUUUGAAUUUAUUUCAAAUUAGUCAUUAUUGUAACAACUCAAUAAACAGAACUACCAACUUUCAUUGACACUUGAAACAUAAUUCAUUAUCUUAUAAAAAUUUCAUAUUCACUAAUAAAAUUUACCAUAGCUUCCCACAUGCCACUUGUUCAUAUUUGUCAAUUUAGUCAUUUUUCUUUUUCAUAAUUCUUUCAUUUCACCAAAUAAUUCACAUAAUAAAUAUAAUUUAAUAAUUAUUUCUAUCAUUUACUAUUAUUUGUAAUUCAAUCUCAGUUUCACUUCUCAUACAUAUACCAUUUCAUCGCACUUUCUUACACAUUCUAUUUAUCCAUAUAAUAUUUCACAAUUUAGCUACAAUUUUACACUUUUUCAAUUUAAUUAUUAUAUUUCCACAACUUAAAAAAAACAAUUAUAAUUUUAAUUACAAUAAUCACGUAUUUUUGUAUUAUUAACUACAUUAUUCACUUAUCAAAUAUUUCUUGUAAAAUUUCAUAACCUUUCAAUUUAGUCCAUUUUUAUCAUAAAAGUUCAAUAUUCACUAAUUAAUCAUAUUAAAUCAAAUGUCUUUCUUGCUACACUUUAAUCACAUAAUUUAUCUCAAUAUCUUGUUUCACAUAUCAAUUUUUUUAGGUAUUUUACUUUUAUUAUUUCAUCCACAUAUUUUCUCAAGUUUGACAAUUUAGUCAUUGCCAUCAUAAAAAUUCCAUAAUUUUCCACAACUUCACUUUUACAAUACUUUAUGCAUAUUCCAUCAUCUCAUAACACAUUUAUUAAACUUUUAUCACAAUUUUCUUAUUCACGUAUUAAACUGUUUUAUAAUUUAUUUUACUAAUUUACCAUAAAACUUCGCCAAGUUUACAUUUUUAAUCCUUAAAUAACAAAAGAAUUCAUGGGUAAUUACAUUUUUCAAACUCAAAUCACUUGUUCUUCCUUUUUCCUCAUCACUUGAUUCACUUUCUCAAUCUCCUUCUUCAAUAUCAUAUAAAAACAAACUUUCCAUGAGUAAUCUUCACAUUGACAUAUUUUCUAUACUUUUCUAACAAUAUUAAACUUGAAAACAAUAUGAAACCUUAACAUACAGUGUAAAGCAAUUCACAUUUAAUUCAUAACAAAAAUUUAUUCAUUCAAUGAAUUCUAUUGUAAAUGCAAACACAUAGUAAUGCAUAAUAAAAAAUCUGUAACAUCCCGAUUUAGGGCCUAGUCAGAACAGUAGUUUCGGGACCACAAAUUCGAUGAGGAAAAUUUUAUUUUUACUAUAUUUUUAUGGCCUACAAUUUCACGGAAAGAUUCCGUGAAAAUUUCGUUCAAAAAUUUUGACGUUUGGGCACUCAAUUUAGUAAAAAAAAAACUAAAUUGUAAAAAGUGCAAAAGUUGAUUUUUAUAUGUUAAAGGUAUUUAAUUGUUAUGGAACUAUAAAUUAGGGGUCCUCAUAUGGUAAUUAGACCAUUAGUUAGUGAUGGACAAAAAUGGACAUGAGAUAAGUGAAAUAGGAUUUUUUUAAGUAAUGGCGUUUUAGUCAUGUAAGUAAAUAAAUAGAAUUAAAAGGGAAAAAGAUGUAAAAAUUGUGUUCAUCAUCCUUGCUUGCUGCCAAAACCUGAAGGAAGCCAUAGUUAGGGUUUCUUCACUUUCUCAAGCUCAUAGUAAGUGAUUCCAAGCCUCGUUUUUAAUGUUCUUUACGUUUUUGGAAUCCCGGUAGCUUAAUUUAGCUUAUUUUAGAAAUAAUUUAACCUAGGGUUCAUAUUUGGAAAAAUAUCCAUAGGUGAAAUAUAUUUAUUUUGAUGUUUUAUGGUAGAAUAUGAAUCUAGGAAUUAUGUUAAACAACUUUUGCUAGUCGAUUUUAAGUGAAAACGAGUAUAUUGGCAUAAUCGACAAAAAUACCUAAUGUUCAUAAGUAAGUGUUAGAGUAAGAAUUUGAUAUUGUCAUAGAAGGGAAAAAUGUUCAGAAUGUUAUAAAACAUAAGAAUAAGAGAUGAAGUUUAAUUUUCGAGCUUUAGGGCAAAAGUGUAAAUAUGCAAUAGUUUAGGGGCAAAACUGUAAUUUUGCCAAAUUUGAGUCAAGCACUGUUUUGAUGAAUGUGAGUAUUAAAUAAGCUAAAUUUUCUAUUAUAGAUCAAGAAGAACGAAAUCUGGAGCUAGACCGGGGAAAGAAAAAGAUUGAGGACUAAAGUGUUAGAUUUGAUCACAUUUUUGUACCAAGGUAAGUUUACGGUAAAUAAAUGCAAUAUUUCAAUAAUUAUUAUUAAUGCUGCUAUUUUCCAGCAAUUAUGUAUUUAUUUCAUGAAAUUAUUUAAUGUUGACUUAAGUAUGAGAUGACAGAGAAUCAGUGAUAAAAGCCCCGUUGAAACAUUAGGAGUGUAUUGGAUACAAAUGUCAUGACAUUUGGGUAAAAAGAUCUCAUGUAAGACCAUGUCUGGGACAUGGAAUUGGCAUCAUUGAGGUUAUGAGAGGUCUCAUGUAAGACCAUGUCUGGGAUAUGGCGUUGGCACCGAGAUGAGAGGUCCCCCGUAAGACCAUGUCUGGGACAUGGCAUGGGCACCGAUAUGAGAACUCCCAUGUAAGACCAUAUCUGGGAUAUGGCAUUGGCAGUACAAGAAACAUCCCAUGUAAGACCAUGUCUGGGACGUGGCUUUGGCAUGUUAUCAUCAGAAAAAGAGACCCAAGUAUCCUUAUUAUUCCAAUGUGGCUCAACGGGCUAGAAAACAAAUUAUGUUCUAUGGAAGUUCAAGUAAAUGUAUAAUUAGCAACUUCGGGUGAGUUAUAAGAGUUAAGAAUAUGUUAUGAUAUCAGUGAGAACCAAUAUUUCAGCAAGAAAAGAGUAAGUUGUAAUCUUAAGCUAUUUAAAUAGGUAAGUAAAUAAACAAGCAAAUGAGAGUAAGUAAAGAGGAAACUUAAGAACAUGAUACUUGCAUAUCAUUAUUCGUGUUAAAUGUUGUUAUUUAUUUAUUUGUAAACUUACUAAGAUUUAUGUUUACUUCUUUUAUUUCUUUUUCUUUCAUAUAAUAUUAUCAAGCAUAGUCGGGAUCUUGAAGACGUCGGAGAGCGUUCACACUAUUAACCACCACAACUUGGUAUUUUAAGACGAUAAAUGUUUCAAGCUAUGGCAUGUAUAGGGACUUAGUCAUUUCGAUUGUAUAUUCUUAAAUUAUGACCAAAAGAUGAUAUGUAAAUAUUUGAUGAUGAAUAGUUAUUAAAAUGGCCAAGUAUGAAGGUGUUUGUUGUUAUAAAUGUCUAGGUGAUAAAUUAUGCAUAAGAAUCAUGAAACGGUAAAAAUUGGUAGUGAAUCAGUUUUGAGAUAGUAGUAGUGACGUGAUUUUGAAAAAUCACCAAGGAUAGUAUAAAAUGAAUUAGAGAGUGAAUAAUAUAUAGAAUUAAAUCUUAUUGAGUCUAUUUUAAUAGAAAAAUAACAGUGUAGACAAAGGAAUCAUGUAUUCUGAGAUAUUUGCAUUUUAGUUAGACAACGUCAAAGUGGUUUUCAGAAUCCUCUGUUCUGACUUUAGAAAAUCAUUAAAAAUUUUACAAAAAUAGUUAUGAGUUGUAAUUUAUAUGUAUAGAUUUCUUAUUUAGUCUAUUUUCUGUAGAAAUAAGUGAGAACACCAUAUGAAGUCUGUACAAUAAGAUAAUUAAAUUUUAGUGACGAGAGGUCAGGACAGUCGAUCAGUGAAACAGGGGAGACUUUAACUAAUAAACUGUAUUAAUUGGCUAAACCAAAAAUUCUUAGAUAUGAUAUAUUCAAUCUUAGAUAUGAUAUGUAAUCUUAGAAGAUAUGAUUUUGUAAUCUUAGAUAUGAUAUGUAAUCUUAAAAGAUAUGAUUUUGUAAUAUUAGAGAUUUAAUUUGUAGAUACCCUUUAAUCUUCGUCGUUGAUGUAAUUGAUCUGUAUCGUUGGAUUUGGGGAGGCUCAGCUAUAAAUAGAGGCCUCUCCCUUCAUUGUAAAAGGAGAAAAGAAUCAAUAAAAAAGGGAGAACGAUUGGCAGUUUUUUAAAGGUGGCUUACUAUUUUCUUUUUUUCUUUUUCGAUUAUUUUUUACUUAUUUACGAUUUUAAAAAAGGGAGAAUGUGAUACCACUGCGAAUUUUAUUUAUUUAUUUUAUUUAGCCCUAAUAAAGUGACGCGUUUCAAAGGAUGAAGAUAUUUUCCCAUUCGAGCCCUAUGAGUUAUUCGCGCCUUUUAAUUGGGCCCUUCAUUUUUUUUAAUUCUGCUGAUUUUCAAUCUAAUCCUUAAUAUUUCAUUUUAGGUUUUUAGUCUAUUUUAUUAAUUUUGUUAUUAUUAUUAUUAUUAUUAUUAUAUAUUAUUAUACCUACAUAUAUGUGCGCAUAUGCAUCUUAAUAUAUAUGCAUAUAUAUUUUAAAUGUUUUAAUAUAUAUACAUAUUAUAUACAUACUUUAUUAUUAUUUUAUUUUCAUAGUUUUUUAUACAUAUAUAUAUACACAUUUAUAUUUUAUAAUAUUUAUAUGUUUGCCCGUAUUCUAUGAUUUUUAUAUGUUUAUACAUUCUUGUAAUAGAUACACAUAUAUUUAUACUCCAUUCAAAGCUUAUUAUAAAUAUUUUCCACGUUUUUAUAUUAUACUUAUAUAUUUCAUUUUUUUGUAAAUGCAUGAAUAUAUUUUAUAUGUAUAUAUUUAUAUUUUCCUUGUUUUCAUAAAUGCAUUAUGUAUUAUAUAUAUAAGUUUUAUAACUCAUAAUUUUAUGAGUAAAUUAUCUUUAUGUUUUUUAUUCUUCAUAGUUUCAAAUGUAUAUAUAUUUUGUACCUUUUUCUCUUUAUAUUUUUUUGUUUAUUUCCUUCAUUUGCUUAUUGAUUUAUGUUUUCAUUUAUAUUCAUUUGAUAUUUUACAUGUCGUUCUUUAUGUACAUUAAUUUCGUUUAUUUCUAUGCCAUUGUUGUAUUUAUUAUUACAUUUUAUAUUUAAUGUAGCAUCACAUCAUUUUUUUUCGAUUUUAAAAUUUUCAAAAUUGAGACAACACUCGUAUUUAGGAUUUUCAAGGAAAUUGGGCCCUAACAUAUUGGGUUCUGAUUUUCUUCGUUAAAUCCAACAAUCGAGGGUUGCUAUUAAUAAAAAAUAUAUAAAAUAAAAAGCUUGUUGUUGGGGAGUUAAAUAUGUUGUAUCCUAACGUAUUGGAUGUGACGUAUUGAUUUCUCGAGACAAAGAUUUUUUGAAAAAAAUAAUAAUAAAGGAAAUACUUCAAGUUUGGGAUUUUGAGGAAUUGUGCCCUAACGUAUUGGGCCGCGAUUUCUUAAAUCUUAAACAAAUGAAUAUUUUUUUAAAUUUUUAUUACACGAGUUUUAGACUAAUUCAUUUUUGAGGAAAUUAGAAUGCUGUGCCCUAACGCAUUGGGUUUGACAUUUUCUUUCUCCGAAAUGAUAAGGGUCUUAAUAAGUAACAUUUUUAAGUUUUUGCUAAGGAUUAUAUUUUCAAAUUUUCGACAUUAAGACACUAAUUAAUUAACUAGGUACCAAUUUUGGGCGUUACGAGGGUGCUAAUCCUUCAUCGUACGCAACCGACUCCCGGAUCCGUUUUUCUAAAACUCGUAGACCAAAGCCGUUUUUUUAGGUGAUCCAAUCACACCUCAAUAAAAGAUUGGUGGCGACUCCCAAUUUUCAUUUUUUAAAGUCGACAACCUAAAAUUUUUGUUUUUCAAAAAAAUUGUUUCGACACCAUUCAUCUUCAUAAUCUAAUUCAACCAUUCCAUUUCAACAUUGUUUUUCAUAUGUUUCAACUAUAGUUUAGUACGUUGCCAACAAUACACAUUCAUGUACACAAUAUGUACCAUCUAAGCUCCAAAAUCACCAACAUUCAAAGUACACAUAAACAUAAUAUUGCCUAUCUAUAUGCCACAUAACCAAAUCGAGAACGAUUAAAAUACUACCGAGUUAGAAGCUAGAUAAUGAUCUCCGAGGUGAUCCGAUCGACGUGUUCCUCAAAAUGACCACUACAGAAAAUAAAAAAUGAGCAAAGUAAGCAUUUCAAAUGCUUAGUAAUUUUAUAGGUUUUAAAACCGUAAACUCACCUUAAUUUACAAUUAACAUAACAAAUUAGAUAACUACAAACUUUCUUAUUUUCACAUAUCACAACAAUAAGGUGAGAUUAUCAAUUAUGAAUCUUGUAACAUUUCAAUCUAUACGAUACAAUUCAAUUCAGUGUCAUUCUAUCAGAAUCAUCAAACAUAUACAUCAUUACAUCAUUCUAAUUAUAUAUAUUCAUUUCCAAUCAUUACACAUUCUUCCAUUUUGUUAUUCUUUUUGUUUUAUUAAUUGUAAUCCCGAUGAACCAUAAUGAACAAAUACAGAUACUGGGUAACUACACCACACCAAAUUACUCAUCUGAGUUGUAACUACACCACACUAGUUCACAAGAGUGCAAGACCCAUAGGAAAAUAUAUCACAUAUCAUAUCAUCCCUCCACCACACCAGGGUCUCCAUAGAUAUAUAUAUAUCGCAACAAAUGCAAGAUUCCAACAUAAUCAGUGAAUUCUCUGUACAUUAGUAAACUCUAUAACAAAUGCAAAAAUAACCCUAUUGGCAUGCCAAUUGUAUCCUAUCCUUUCUUACGUUCAUCUGAGCACAUUUAACGCAUCAGAUCCAUUCUUUACAAUUCAAUCCAUUUUUCACUUUUUUGUACUAAUUUGCAUACAAUUCAAUGUAUAAUCCCACUAUAUAAAUUCGUACUUCAAACGCAUACAUUUCAUUUACAUAUAUAACUAUACCAUAUGAACUUCCUACAAAAACUACUAACGAUUUGAAUUAUAGGGACUAUUCAACAAUUUUCCUUUUUCCUCGAUUAACUUUCAGUUGAUUCAAAUAUUAAUCUAUACGAUAAUUCAUUCCAAUUUAGUAGUUUCAAUUACCUUAUAACAUCUUAUUCUAUGCAUAUGACAUUUUAAUUUCAUGUUUCAUAAAUUCCAUAAAGUUUCACAUUUUAUUCAAUUUAGUCCAUAAAACCGAAACAAUCAUAACUUUCACAUUUGAGCUUCGUUUUACAAUCUGAUUUCAAUUACAUCCUUCUAUGACUCUCUAAAAUUCAUUAAAAUAGAAAUUUCACACCACUAUUACACUUUUUACACUUUAGUCCUUUUUAAAAAAAAAUAAUUUCACUUUUCAAAUUAGUCAUUUUUCAUCUAUACACUUGAAAUCUAACCAUUUAACAUAAAAAUUCACAAAAACAACAAUGGAAGCUUUUAAAAACUUUAAUAGUUUUUUAAACUAACACAUGAGUUUGCUAAAUCGAGCUUCAACGAUCACAAAAAUAUAAAAUUUAUGAAAAACUAGCUUGAACACACUUACCAUACAAGGGCCAAACUUUGAAAGUUUUUGAAACUUUUAUCCUUCUUCAAUGGAGGAAAAUUCAGUGGAGAAUAUGGGAGUGAAGUUAUUCUCUUUCUUUCCACUUUAGUUUUCUUUUAUUAAUGUUUGAAGUUCAAUAAGUUGACUUUAAUUUUUAACAAACAAUGCUAAAAAUUAUGUUCUAACCGUCCAUGCUAUUACAUUAUGGCCUAAUUUCCAUUUUAAACCUUGAAAAAUUUCUAUUUAAGCCUUUUAACUAGUAAAAAUCAACAACGAUUAACUUUUACAUUUUUUAUGAUUUAAUCCUUGUAUCUUAAUUACUAACCGGUUAAUAAAAUUACUGAAUCAAAAUUCAAUAUAACAUUAUAAUAUACUUGUAAAUAUUAAAUAAUAAUAUUUAUGGACUCGAUCAUUAACGGGGUUCCCAAAACCACCAUUUUCGAUACCACUAACAAACAGGUUGUUACAUAUUCUAUUGGAAUCAAGCUUUAGCUUGAUUUUAUCUCUCUUCCAACUUUUAUUUUCUUAAAUCUAAAUUGAUAGUCUUACUCUUUAUAGUCUUCUUAUUAUUUUUCUCUCUUGGUGGUAAAUUAAUAUUCUUACUCUUUAUAGUUUUCUUAUUAUUUUUCUCUCUUGGUGGUUAUGAAAACUCCUUUGCUUUCUAGGUGAAAAUGAUUAAUUUUGAUAGAAAAUACCAAAUUGCAAAUAAAGCAAAACUUUCUUUUCUUAAAGAAUGGUGGACAUAAGCUUGAAAAAAGAUGAGAAAUUUCCAUCAGCUUUUCUUUUUAUUUUCUUAACUAUUAAUUAAAUAAUAAAAUAUCUUAUAUUAAAAUAAUAAUAAAAUAAUCUUAACCAAUAAAAAUCUAACACCAAUUUCAUGAGAAUUAUCUUAUUUGAGAAAUGACUACUUUACCCUUCAACAUUCACUACAAUUCAUUCAUUGAAUUGUUACUUAAUUUGAUAAAAUUAUGAUUUAGUCCUUCAUAUUUCUCCACUAUUCAAAUUGGUACAUGCACACCAGUUUCAUCUAAUAAGAAAUUGGGUUAUUUUCACUUUUGGUCCUCAAAUUUCUCCUAUUUAUACUUCAACCCUCAAAUUUUGAAUAAAUGUACUUGAACCUUGAAACUUUUUAUAUUUUUACGAUUUAGUCCUUACUUUAAUUUAGUGUACCACAACAUACUUCUCGAUUCAACUUUUUUUUUAUACUCUUCAACCUUCUCAUUUAUCACUUUCAUUUCCUUAUUUUAUUUUAUCGAAACAUCAAUUAUACACAAUCUUGAUUUAUUACUGUUUUUAAAGUCUAAAAAUUUUAAAGGUGUUACAAAGUGUCUUUCAAGCAUGUCCACCGAGAGAUGAAAUGGCAAAGUUGCUGCAUGGAGAUGAUUUUGAACUGCAUCGGUUUAACUCUCUUGUUCCUCAACUGAUCAACGUUUUUGAAAAACCAAUAUAUAUUUCAAUUAUUUAAUUUUUUAAAAUAAAUUCAUUAGAAUGAAAUGUUGUUGUUUAAGCGUGAGUAAUUUCUAAAAAUGUUUAGGAUCACUCAUAGUAAUUCUAUUAUUUAUACUUUUUUCUACUCAUAAUUUACUUUAAAAAUAUUGCUAAAAUAAUAAAAUCGAUUUUGUAGGACACAAUUUUAAGAUUAUAUUCUAAAUCCUUGCGACCUCUCCACUGCGAUUAUCAUCCUCUUCGAUUCCGAGUUUAGCAUUAUUUUUGAGAAGUGUUGUAGAAAAAUAUUUUUAAGAAGUAAUUUUGAAAAGUUUAGUUUAAGAUUUAUGUGUUCAAUAUUGCUGUCAAAAAAUAUAUUUAAAAAAUAAAAUAUCUAUUUUAGACAUGGUGUUAUAAAAUAACAAAUAUGUAUUUAAAUAAUGUUCAAAUUAGUUUUUUUUUUGAAAAAUCGACUGGAUUAACACCUUAAAAUUAAAACAAAAACGUCUCUUGGGUCGAACCCAAUAAACAAAACCUAAGAAACAAAACCAGCAAAAGCAGGCUUACAUCAAUUUAGCCCACCUUAAGUAAAAUAAUAAAAUAAACAAAUUCAAAAUUCCAGUUGAUCGGUCAGUUGUCUUCAUAAAUCCAUCUGCCUUUUCCUCUGCCCAUGACAACUGAAAAGUAAAAGCAAAUCCUUUCAAAUCUUUUACUUAUCAGAUUACUUUUACAAACAGCAUCCUCCCUUUCAUUUCAAUCGUUCAUUUCUUGAUGCCAAAAGCCAAAAUCUUAUCCCCUUUCCUUUCUACUCUGGAUUACCCAAACAGCUUGGCUCCGAGUCUUCACCAAUCGAUCUUAAGGUCUCUCCCUCUAGGUACUGUUCCACUCCCGUUUGAAGUGUUCUUUUUGCUAGUCUGUGUGCUUCAAUAUUUUCAGACCUUGAGUUGAAGUAAAAUCUGAUUUUGUGGAAUAAAUCUUUGAAGCUUUGAAUAUCGCUGAUAAUUGCUCCUAUUUCUGAUCUGUCCCGGUUUCCACUUUGACAUUUUGUUAUCACUGUUUUUGAAUCUCCUAUUAUAUCCAAAGUAUAAUAUUCCAACUGGAUCCCUAACCUUGUUGCUUGAAAUCCUGCAUAUGCUUCCGCCGCAAACGGAGAUGCAACAUUGUCAUGAAGGAUCGAUUUUGCUCCAACGAUUCUGCCCGCCUCAUUUUUAACAACAAGACCUGACGCAGGUCUGUGGUUUUGUGAAUCAAACGCUGCAUCGAAAAAGAUGGCCUUAUUCGCCCUUUGUAUCCACUGUCUAGGCCUUGUACUGGUUGCCAAAGUGAGUACCCUUUCUUUAACACCUUCUAGUUCUGAAAUAUAACUUUGAAUUUGCUUCGAUAUAUCCCAACUGGUACUAUAUUUUCCUUCAUAUAUAAACUUAUUUCUGCUUAUCCAGAUUCCCCAUAGCCCGCAGCAAAAUCCCAUGCACUGUUCAUUUGUCCCUUUUCUGAAUACCCAGAUAAGCCAACUCCAUAUAUCACCAUGAUUGUCAUUAAGUACCCAAGAAAAGUUCAAAUGACUCCAUAUUUCUUUUGCUAUAGGACACAUUUGGAAGACGUGGAUGCUAUCUUCUUCGCCCUGGCUACAUCUCAAACAACGGACCUCAGUCAUUACUCUUCUCGAUUUUAGAUUAGAGAAAGUGGAUAUGUAAUUCCACGUUAUUCUCCAUACUGUAAUUUUAAUUUUUGAGGGCAACUGUAGAUUCCAUAAUUUCUUGUAGAAAUUUUUUGUAUCAGUCUGUAAAUAAGCAUUAGUUCUUGGGCAGUCUUUGAAAAGACUCCAGUAGCCUCCCCUCUCCAUACUUGGAUGUCUUCUUGGGCAGUCUUUGAAAGUGGAAUCCGCAGAAUCUUCUUUGCGAUAUCUGUAUUAAAGGUAUUGACAAUCAAGUCUCUUUUCCAUGUUCUACUCUCUGCAUUGAUUAAGUCGGCCACUACUCUGAUACUUUCACUUCUGCUGUUAUUCUGUAAUCUAUCUUCUGCUGUUAUGCUGUUUUUUUUUUUUUUCAAAUUAGUUAAUGUUACGAUAUUUUAGAAAGAAUGUAAAAAAAUAUUUUAUUAUAAAUUGUUGUUAAUAUUUUAAUAUAUAAAAUAUAAAAUUUAAAUAUUUUAAAGUAA